UUUUUUUUUUUAAUUGUCAACAAAUGGAAUAAUGGAAAUAGCAUCUAUGUCUUUCAACUCAAAUGGGCCUAUGAGGCUAGGGCCAAAGUCUAGAACAAUAAGAACUAUUAUCACUAUUUUAUUUUUUUUUUGGGGUUGGAAGAAGCAAGAAAUUCAAGAACACCUUUGAGUAGGGUUUAUGUGGAUUUUAUACAACUCUAGGGUUAAGUUAACUCUCUUUUUUUGUGUAUGUAGGCAAGUUAUACUAAAUUGAUCUAGAGCAUUCUUAUGUAUAUCUAAACAUAAGA
rnacentral:lncRNA from 1 species